rnacentral:rRNA from 1 species
GACGAACGCUGGCGGCGUGCCUAAUACAUGCAAGUCGAACGCAGUGGGGCCGGGUGAGUAACACGUGGGUAACCUCCCAUCAGAGGGGAUAACACUUGGCAACAGGUGCUAAACCGAUACUGAUGGAUGGACCCGCGGUGCAUUAGCUAGUUGGUGAGGUAACGGCUCACCAAGGCCAAGAUGCAUAGCCGACCUGAGAGGGGGAUCGGCCACACUGGGACUGGGACACGGCCCAGACUCCAGCGGGAGGAAGGAGUAGGGAAGCUGUGGCAAUGGACGGAAGUCGGACCGAGCAACGCGGCGUGAGUGAAGAAGGUUUUCGGAUCGUAAAACUCUGUUGUUAGAGAAGCGGUAUCUAACCAGAAAGCCACGGCUAACUACGUGGCAGCAGCCGCGGUAAUAC